UGGGGAAUUUUGGACAAUGGGCGAAAGCCUGAUCCAGCAAUGCCGCGUGUGUGAAGAAGGCCUUCGGGUUGUAAAGCACUUUUGUCCGGAAAGAAAUCCUUGGCUCUAAUACAGUCGGGGGAUGACGGUACCGGAAGAAUAAGCACCGGCUAACUACGUGCCAGCAGCCGCGGUAAUACGUAGGGUGCAAGCGUUAAUCGGAAUUACUGGGCGUAAAGCGUGCGCAGGCGGUUUGCUAAGACCGAUGUGAAAUCCCCGGGCUCAACCUGGGAACUGCAUUGGUGACUGGCAGGCUAGAGUAUGGCAGAGGGGGGUAGAAUUCCACGUGUAGCAGUGAAAUGCGUAGAGAUGUGGAGGAAUACCGAUGGCGAAGGCAGCCCCCUGGGCCAAUACUGACGCUCAUGCACGAAAGCGUGGGGAGCAAACAGGAUUAGAUACCCUGGUAGUCCACGCCCUAAACGAUGUCAACUAGUUGUUGGGAUCAUUCCUUAGUAACGUAGCUAACGCGUGAAGUUGACCGCCUGGGGAGUACGGUCGCAAGAUUAAAACUCAAAUGAAUUGACGGGGUCAUAGCUGUUUCCU
rnacentral:rRNA from 1 species